rnacentral:rRNA from 1 species
UACGUAGGGUGCAAGCGUUGCCCGGAUUUAUUGGGCGUAAAGGGCGCGUAGGCGGUGAGACACGUCUGUUGUGAAAUCGCCCGGCUCAACUGGGCGGGGUCAGCGGAUACGGUCUCACUUGAGCAAGCUAGGGGGCAAUGGAAUUCCCGGUGUAGUGGUGGAAUGCGUAGAUAUCGGGAGGAACACCAGUGGCGAAGGCGGUUGCCUGGGGCUUUGCUGACGCUGAUGCGCGAAAGCGUGGGGAGCGAUC